rnacentral:rRNA from 1 species
AUUGAACGCUGGCGGCAGGCCUAACACAUGCAAGUCGAGCGGAUGAAGGGAGCUUGCUCCUGGAUUCAGCGGCGGACGGGUGAGUAAUGCCUAGGAAUCUGCCUGGUAGUGGGGGAUAACGUCCGGAAACGGGCGCUAAUACCGCAUACGUCCUGAGGGAGAAAGUGGGGGAUCUUCGGACCUCACGCUAUCAGAUGAGCCUAGGUCGGAUUAGCUAGUUGGUGGGGUAAAAGCCUACCAAGGCGACGAUCCGUAACUGGUCUGAGAGGAUGAUCAGUCACACUGGAACUGAGACACGGUCCAGACUCCUACGGGAGGCAGCAGUGGGGAAUAUUGGACAAUGGGCGAAAGCCUGAUCCAGCCAUGCCGCGUGUGUGAAGAAGGUCUUCGGAUUGUAAAGCACUUUAAGUUGGGAGGAAGGGCAGUAAGUUAAUACCUUGCUGUCUUGACGUUACCAACAGAAUAAGCACCGGCUAACUUCGUG